GACGAACGCUGGCGGCGUGCUUAACACAUGCAAGUCGAGCGGAAAGGCCCUUCGGGGUACUCGAGCGGCGAACGGGUGAGUAACACGUGAGCAACCUGCCCUAGGCUUUGGGAUAACCCUCGGAAACGGGGGCUAAUACCGGAUAGGACCUCCUGCCGCAUGGUGGGGGGUGGAAAGUUUUUCGGCUUGGGAUGGGCUCGCGGCCUAUCAGCUUGUCGGUGGGGUGAUGGCCUACCAAGGCGGUGACGGGUAGCCGGCCUGAGAGGGCGACCGGCCACACUGGGACUGAGACACGGCCCAGACUCCUACGGGAGGCAGCAGUGGGGAAUAUUGCACAAUGGGCGGAAGCCUGAUGCAGCGACGCCGCGUGAGGGAUGACGGCCUUCGGGUUGUAAACCUCUUUCAGCAGGGACGAAGCGUGAGUGACGGUACCUGCAGAAGAAGCGCCGGCCAACUACGUGCCAGCAGCCGCAGUAAUAC
rnacentral:rRNA from 1 species